UUUUGACACUACACGCCCUCACAUACCGUUACACGAUAUUAAAUGAAAUUGCCUUUUGAAGAAAACUUUCCUUCACCCAAUCGCAGUCCAUACUUUUUGAGUGACACAUCAAUCCACCAAUCAGAUUCAUAUCUGUGCGCAUAUCGUCAGCCGGUAUUUACUGUUUGUCAUACUGGAGUUUCGACUUCGUGGUGGCGCCGCCGUCCACAAGCAAAGUGCACUGGCGCAACAAUGGUGAAGAUUUUCAUUGGGAACCUGUCUCAGCACGCUGGGAAGGAUGAAGUUGAGGCUCUGUUUACUCAGUACGGCACAGUGACCGAAUGUGCCAAAUACAAAAACUAUGCUUUUGUCCACAUGGACGACCGCAAGUCAGCCACCAAAGCCAUCCGAGAGCUCCAUCUCUAUAAGCUGAACGGUAGGCCCAUCAACGUGGAGCUCAGCAGAGGGAAGAACCAGGUCCCUGUGAAGCUCCACGUUGCCAAUGUAGAAAAGGGGUCUGAUGAGGAGCUCCGUGCUCUCUUUGAAGAGUAUGGCACAGUCACAGAGUGUUCCAUUGUCAAGGACUUUGCCUUUGUGCACAUGGCCAAUUCUGAUGAGGCCAUGGAUGCCAUAAAAGAACUGGAUAACACAGAGUUUCAGGGUUGUUAGACUCUAUGCAGGAGAUGCCAGCUCAUGGUAAGUCAUCCUUGGAAGAUGUCCAGCAUCCUGAAGACAAGAGGUAGAUAUUGUUUAAACAAUAUUACAUAACACCUGUUAAUAAUGCAAUAAAUAGUUUUGUGGCUCCCUCUUGUGUACUUGGAUUCAUACUGCAGUUUUUCACACCCGUGAUAAAGACUGAAUUUUAAAUUUGUAAUUUCUAAAUCUGGAAAAUGUGAUUUAAAGAUUUAUAAAGAUACUCUGAUUUUACAUCUUGUCAAAACAUUUAUAAAGUGCUCACUAGAAAAAAUAAUUUUUAGUCACUGACUUUUUUUAUUACAUCUAAUGCUAUCCUAUGACAUUUUUCUUUUUUUUUCUUCUUUUUUUUUUUCCAUCAGUGUGAUGUCUGACCCUUCCUGUCUCUGUUCACAGGCUUGUUUCUGCUCUGGAGACUAUAAUGGGCCUGGAAUGAAUUCACAGGAACAGGAACAUUACAGGAUGAGAUGGUCCCGUGGUUAAAGGAAGUUGAUUUGGUCCUGUUUGGUCCAUUGAGGGCUGAUCUGGAGUGAAUGUCCCAGUUGAGUCCUCAGAAAACCUGCAUGGUUCCAUCUUUGUGCCGUACAGCUGAUGGACACAGAUCUACAGGUUACAUUUUGGACUGAUUCUUACUGAUUCAGAUCCCAGCUCUAACACACACUCACCACCUAACUGAGAUAUGACCAAAACCAUACAGUGUUACAACUGUGACUGAGUUUUGGCACAGUCCAUAAAGCCUUGAAUGUUUACUUGAAACCUAAGCAAGACUUUUUAUACACAACAUUUGUGACCUACAAUUAUUUUAUACACUGUGUAGGACUGUGUGUAGACAGCUCUUGUGUUGUCAAAAUAUUGUCUAAAGUAUAAAUCAUAUUUUGAUUUUAUUUUGAAUGUGGAUAGACUUUUCUUUCUGUUCAAACAUGAGCAAAUAAACACAUUUUUGAUAGGAGUUUGUAAAUGUAUGGUCAGUAGUUUGAGUCUGUUGUUAAUCCCAGGUAGUUUAUUGUAAUUGUAGAAGAUCUUGUUUUCAUCUACCUUGCAGCCUCAAGCAUUUAUUGACUGUGUAACUUCUACCUCCAGUGGUUAAUCUGACCGAGACACUUCUCCAAGUUUCACACAAGCUCUGCUGUAGUUUACAGUCUCACUGUAACAGUAGAGUCUAAAAUAAGUGAACAAGAGAUUCCCCUCAGUGUACAGGAUGCGGGAUAUAAAUACAAACAGAGGUAUUACAGCAUCUGCAGUCUUUACUCUGUUCAGCUGUAAUGUCACACCCUGUCUGAUUUUGUUACAUGGCAGUGACAAACUUUCUAUCACCAUUAGUCACUGUCACCUGAUUUAAUGCAAUGACCUUUUUCCACAUAAAACUUGAAAAACUGAAUGACGUUACUUUACUGUAGAGCAAAAAUAUGUUUUCUGUAUUAACUGUAGAGGUCACAGCUGGCUGAAACUGAUGGCAGCAUGCACAUGGUGAGAGGCAGGAUACAUCCUGGACAGGUAGCCAGCCAUAGAUGGUUAGAUACUGUAGUUGCUCUACUUGGGUAAAAACAACAAAACAGAGCAAUCUGUUAAAAGUCAAAUUAAAAGUUAACCCACUGCAUCCGCUUAAGAAGGAGAAGUGUCAUUUUUUCUAUUCCCUUUUUUGGAUGUUUGUUCUCUGAAGUCAUGUAAUUUCAAACCAGGUUCCCUUUACACACACUCCCUUCUUGCUGGGAUGGAGCAUCGAGAAACUGUGGGUGGUGGUUAGAGUCUCUGUAGUGUGUUGACCUCACAUUGUUUGGACAGGUCCAACUGCUGCCUGCAUGACCGUGAUCACGCUCCAAACUUUUAUGGCUGUUCUUCCCGUCAUUCCUAAAGCCUGCUGUUUGUUAACAGCUCCGGUAAACAGCCACUAACACUGUGAUCUCUGCCUCCAGAGGUAGAUAAAGAUCUGAAAUCACACCUCUUGCUCAUAAAUUCAGUUUAGUAGAGAUUCUCCAACCAGACUGGACUUUGUUUGAAGACUAUUAGAAAAUAACACCGGUUUCUGGAGUCAACUCAAACACAACACCUGACGUGUGUAUCUCUACCAUUGCCAUUGCCUUGUGCUGAUAUUAGCUGGAGGACCAGCUGAAGGAAAAACUGCUGCGGUUCCAUAAAUCUAGUUUUGAGGUGAUGCAACUUUGCAUCUGCAUUUCUUGUUUUUCCCUGAUCAUAUCACACUGAUUAAAACUGAUAAACCUG